UUGAAUGUGUGAGACAGGGGCAUGAAAAUGAGACAGGGGAUGAAGCUGAGUGAAUGUAUGAGGCAGGGGUUUAACUGUGAGUGAGUUUCUGAGGCAGGGGGAUGACAGUGAGUGAAUUUCUGAGGCAGGGGGAUGACUGUGAGUGAUUUUCUGAGGCAGGGGGAUGACUGUGAGUGAUUUUCUGAGGCAGGGGGAUGACUGUAAGUGAUUUUUUGAAGCAGGGGGAUGACUGUGAGUGAAUUUCUGAGGCAGGGGGAUCGCUGUGAGUGAUUUUCUGAGGCAGGAGCAUGAUGCUGAGUGAGUGUCUGAGGCAUAGGGAUGACAGUGAGUGAUUUUCUGACACAGGGGGAUGAAGCAGAGUAACUGUGAGGCAGGGGGAUGUGGCUGUGUGACUGUGUGAGGCAGGGGGAUGAAUGUGUGUGAUUUUCUGAGGCAGAGGGUUGACAGUGAGUGAUUUUCUGAAUCAUGGAGAUGACAGUGAGUGAUUUUCUGAGGCAGGGGGAUGACUGUGAGUGAUUUUCUGAGGCAGGGGGAUGAAGCAGAGUAACUGUGGGGCAGGGGGAUGUGGCUGUGUGACUGUGGUAUGCAGGGGAAUGACUGUGUGAUUUUCUGAGGCAGAGGGAUGACAGUGAGUGAUUUUCUGAGGCAGAGGGCUGACUGUGAGUGAAUUUCUGAAGCAGGUUGCUCACUGUGAGUGAUUUUCU
rnacentral:lncRNA from 1 species